rnacentral:rRNA from 1 species
UGUCCAGACUCCUACGGGAGGCAGCAGUGGGGAAUAUUGCACAAUGGGGGAAACCCUGAUGCAGCGACGCCGCGUGAGUGAAGAAGUAUUUCGGUAUGUAAAGCUCUAUCAGCAGGGAAGAAAAUGACGGUACCUGACUAAGAAGCCCCGGCUAACUACGUGCCAGCAGCCGCGGUAAUACGUAGGGGGCAAGCGUUAUCCGGAUUUACUGGGUGUAAAGGGAGCGCAGGCGGCACGGCAAGUCUGGUGUGAAAACCCGGGGCUCAACCCCGGGACUGCAUUGGAAACUGCCGGGCUGGAGUGUCGGAGGGGUAAGCGGAAUUCCUAGUGUAGCGGUGAAAUGCGUAGAUAUUAGGAGGAACACCAGUGGCGAAGGCGGCUUACUGGACGAUGACUGACGUUGAGGCUCGAAAGCGUGGGGAGCAAACAGGAUUAGAUACCCGCGUAAG